UGGCUUUCUUGUUUUCGUGG
rnacentral:siRNA from 1 species